rnacentral:snoRNA from 2 species
ACGACCUUACUUGAACAGGAUCUGUUCUAUAGGAUCGUACCGCUGCAUCCUUGACUUAUAAGGAGGCAAGCGCUUCAGCUUGGUUGAUGACUCAAUGACCUGUGGGCCAGAGCGUGAUUAACGGCCAGGUUUAGAGCUGUGAUGCUCCUCCAUCUGCUGCUGUAGAGGAUCGUUCCUGGUCAGGCCUUGCCUGCUCGGGGUUGGCCCUCAGGUUGUCUUGACAGGCU